AUUUCAUCAUCUACCUAAUUAUGGUUAAAGAUAAGAUCAUACUUUUUUUACUAUACAAUAUCUUAUAGAAUAUUUCAUGCUAUAUAUAACACAUAUGUAAUACCUAUAUAUAUGUAAAGCAUAUAUUGUAGAGAAUGUUUCUAGAUAUCCUUCUUAAUCUAUUCUAUACAUAACCUUUUAAUCUAAUCCAAAAUGAGUUGCUUGUUUUUCAUUAUACAAAAAAAGUUGUUGUUUUACGUUAAAGAAAAGAAAAUAUCUACUCUGAGUUUGAUUGUUUUUCCUCUUUUUGCUGGUAUUUAAUUCUAAACCUGGCGACGAACAGAGUUGUUUUUUGAAAUGUUAAGAAAUUACUUGUUGGUGUCAUUUUUCAUGUACACAUUGUGUUGUCCCUUAGUUUUAGAUGAACACAGCGUGUCGUUUGAAAUGAGAAACUAUUCAUGCUUCUACCGACAUGCAGUUUUUUUUUGAGAAAGGCUUUACCGACAUAUAGUUUCACCCUUCUAUUACACUAGAAUCUGAAUUAGUGCUGUGUAUAGACCAAGCCAUGAUUUUUAGAAAAAAAUAAGAAUAACUUAACGGACUUAGGUGUGAAUUAAUAUGCCAAUCCUAAGACCUUGCACAACGGGAGUACACGACCAAUCCUUAGCACGAAAACUUAAGUAAAACCGAAUAUAAUAAUAUUACUUAGGUUAAUCUGCGUAAGGAUUGAUCCGUCAUCAAGGCUUUUAAGAGAUUGAUCCUUAGCAACGUGUCAACUCCUGAGUGGGACGGGGUCGGUAUGAUUUUGGGUUUGGUUAAAAAAAAAUUGUCAUUCGCGACCGAAACCGGAAAAAAAAAAUGGAGAGCUCGAGGAAAGGCGAUAUUUUGGCGAUUGAAACCGAUCGUCUUCACGAAGGUAAAUCGAAGCCUAAACCUGUAUUUUUGUUCGAUUUAGCUUAGUUUUCAUCUAGUUUCGUCUCAUUUUAGGGUUUCGGGGAUGGGUUUGAAUCGAUUUGGGUUUCGAUUGAAAUUUGGGUUUCAAAAAAAUUUGCGGUUAAAUCGAUUUGGGGUUUAGACCCAGUAUGGGGUUUGUAGUAAGGGUUUUGAUAAGAUUUCGGUUUCAAUCUGAAACGGAAUUGUAUCUUAUUUCUUAAACGGUUUCGAAAUGAAAGGUGUUUUAAACGGAAGAGGAUUUUCUCUUUUUUUCUCAAGGGUUUCUCAACCUUUUAGGUUUGAUAUGUGUUCGCUUUCAUUGGGUUCGUAAUAUUUUAAAUUCCAAAUUCCAAAUCACAGAGGUGAUUAUAUAAGCUAGUCUUCCUUUUGAUCUGAAUCUGAAAUAUCUUAACUUUGCUUGUCUUACGGAUACUUUGGAAGGUUCCUGUCACAUGUAUUGUUAAGAGUACAGACAAAGAGAUUCUAUGUUUUGCUAUAUCUAGCUGUUUAGAUUUGACUCUUUAACUUGAGUUUCGAUUUGGGUUUCGAUUGAAAGAGUGUUCUGAACUACUCAUCAAACACUUGAGCAGAAUGAAUGGUGACAUUGCUUCUAGCUCACGGGUGAUUUAGGAGUGUUUCCUUUUCGUUUCUAUCAGAACUUGUUUCCUUUUCUUUCCUUUUGGUACUACUGCUUAUUGUAAACUUGAAUUUGGCUAUGUAUCUCGGAGAGGUUGUUUCCUUUUGCCUCAAAACUUGUUUUUGUACUUUUCAAAACUUGUUUUUGU